AGUCUUUGUGUUGCCCACUCACUUUUGGUCACUAGUAAAUGCGGCAUCAAAAAAGGAGUAAACUAAACACUUUGCUGACCAUUCCUUCCUUGAAUUGGUAUCUUUGGUUUAGCAGCUGCAUAAGCAAGAGUU